AUGGCGGACUGCUCAGUAACACGUGGACAACCUACCCUCGGGUCCGGCAUAAUCCUGGGAAACUGGGGAUAAUUCCGGAUAGGUCACAGAAGCUGGAAUGCUCUGUGGCCCAAAGCUCCGGCGCCCGAGGAUGGGUCUGCGGCCUAUCAGGGUUGUAGUGGGUGUAAUGUACCUACUAGCCUACGACGGGUACGGGUUGUGAGAGCAAGAGCCCGGAGAUGGAUUCUGAGACACGAAUCCAGGCCCUACGGGGUGCAGCAGGCGCGAAAACUUUACAAUGCGGGAAACCGUGAUAAGGGAAUCUCGAGUGCCAGCAUAUAAUGUUGGCUGUCCAGAUGCCUAAAAAGCAUCUGUUAGCAAGGGCCGGGCAAGACCGGUGCCAGCCGCCGCGGUAACACCGGCGGCCCGAGUGGUAACCGCUAUUAUUGGGUCUAAAGGGUCUGUAGCCGGCCAGGUAAGUCCCUUGGGAAAUCUGGCAGCUCAACUGUCAGGCUGCUAGGGGAUACUGUUUGGCUUGGGACCGGGAGAGGUGAGAGGUACCUUGGGGGUAGGGGUGAAAUCUUGUGAUCCUCGGGGGACCACCAGUGGCGAAGGCGUCUC
rnacentral:rRNA from 1 species